UUUUUUUUUCCCCCAAGCGAAGCAUGAACAGUUGCUAAGUGGAAAAUGGAGGCUGAAUUUUACAUGGUGAUUCUUACCUGCUUGAUCUUCAGGAACUCAGAAGGGUUUCAGAUUGUCCAUGUCCAGAAACAACAGUGUCUUUUCAAAAAUGAGAAAGUGGUCGUGGGCUCAUGCAAUAGGACCAUCCAGAACCAGCAGUGGAUGUGGACUGAGGAUGAAAAGCUCCUUCAUGUUAAAUCUGCACUGUGCUUGGCCAUCUCCAACUCCUCUCGCGGCCCCUCCCGCUCAGCCAUCUUGGAUUGCUGUUCCCAGGCACCCCGAUGGACCUGCUAUGAUCAGGAAGGCUUCCUUGAGGUGGAAAAUGCCUCUCUCUUUCUCCAGAAACAAGGCUCCAGAGUAGUGGUCAAGAAGGCCAGGAAAUACUUCCAUAGCUGGAUGAAAAUAGAUGUCAACAAGGAGGGAAAACUGGUCAAUGAAAGCCUCUGUUUAAAAAAAGCUGGCCUGGGAGCAGAAGUUUCAGUGAGGAGCACUAGAAACAUGGCUCCACCCCAGAUUCCCACUACCUUUAAUGCAGUUCCAGAUAGCCUGGAACGCCUUAUUAGGAAUACCACAGAGGCCUUCAUCAGAAAUGCUGCAGAAAACUACAGCCAAAACAGCAGCGAGAGGCAGCAUCCCAAUCUGCACGUGACUGGAAUUACAGACACAUCAUGGGUUUUGUCGACUACUCAGCCCUUCUCCAGCACCACUGAAGAGACUGGACUGGCGGAGCCAGAGAGAUGUAACUUCACCCUGGCGGAGUCCAAGGCCUCCAGCCAUUCCGUGUCUAUCCAGUGGAGAAUUUUGGGCUCACCCUGUAACUUUAGCCUCAUCUAUAGCAGUGACACUCUGGGGGCCGCGUUGUGCCCUCCCUUUCGGAUAGACAACACCACAUACGGAUGUAACCUUCAAGAUUUACAAGCAGGAACCAUCUAUAACUUCAAGAUUAUUUCUCUGGAUGAAGAGAGAACUGUGGUCUUGCAAACAGAUCCUUUACCUCCUGCUAGGUUUGGAGUCAGUAAAGAGAAGACGACUUCAACCAGCUUGCAUGUUUGGUGGACUCCUUCUUCCGGAAAAGUCACCUCAUAUGAGGUGCAAUUAUUUGAUGAAAAUAACCAAAAGAUACAGAGGGUUCAAAUUCAAGAAAGUACUUCAUGGAAUGAAUACACUUUUUUCAAUCUCACUGCUGGUAGUAAAUACAAUAUUACCAUCACAGCUGUUUCUGGAGGAAAACGUUCUUCUUCAGUUUAUACCAAUGGAUCAACAGUGCCAUCUCCAGUGAAAGAUAUUGGUAUUUCCACAAAAGCCAAUUCUCUCCUGAUUUCCUGGUCCCAUGGUUCUGGGAAUGUGGAACGAUACCGGCUGAUGCUAAUGGAUAAAGGGAUCCUAGUUCAUGGUGGUGUUGUGGACAAACAUGCUACUUCCUAUGCUUUUCAUGGGCUGACCCCUGGCUACCUCUACAACCUCACUGUUGUGACUGAGGCCGCAGGGCUGCAAAACUACAGGUGGAAACUAGUCAGGACAGCCCCCAUGGAAGUCUCAAAUCUGAAGGUGACAAAUGAUGGCAGUUUGACCUCUCUAAAAGUCAAGUGGCAAAGACCUCCUGGAAAUGUGGAUUCUUACAAUAUCACCCUGUCUCACAAAGGGACCAUCAAGGAAUCCAGAGUAUUAGCACCUUGGGUUACUGAAACUCACUUUAAAGAGUUAGUCCCUGGACGACUUUAUCAAGUUACUGUCAGCUGUGUCUCUGGUGAACUGUCUGCUCAGAAGAUGGCAAUGGGCAGAACAUGUGAGUCUUGGGCUCCAGAAUGUUCCUUGGUUGCUCAAAUCACUCUCUGAUCCACCUUAAAAUAGGACAAAAUAAGUUAGCAGGAAAACUCCUUUCCCAAUCUGAGAAGCGGAGCCUAUGUAACUGAAGGUGUCUGGAGUAUGGCCCAUUCUUCUCAGUCACUUAGGCAACCGAGUUUGGAUUUCUGAAUGAUCUGCAUGUUGUUUCUGUCUUAUGCUUUUUCAUGUCACAUCACUUAAGUAGCAUAAAUGCAUUAGCAUUGAUACCAGUAUAUAAAACGUUUCUGAUUCAUUCUUACAGUGAGAACCAGUUAGCAUUUAACCAUGUUUUCCAUACAUUAUUUUAUUAAUUUAUGUCCUCAAACACUUAUCUAUCCAGUGCCUUAUAUGUAUAAAUUACUGUACUAUUGUUAAAACGAAUAAGACAUGCUACUUGCCUUUAAGGCAGGAUCCAGCAAACCACCCCAUCUGGUGCCAAAUCUGGUCUGUGGCCUGAUUUUGUUUAGCCCUCAAGCUAAGAGUGGUUUUUACAUGUUUAAAGGUUGUACAAAC
rnacentral:sRNA from 1 species